CAGCAGCCGCGGUAAUACGAAGGGGGCUAGCGUUGCUCGGAAUCACUGGCGUAAAGGGUGCGUAGGCGGGUUUUUAAGUCAGGGGUGAAAUCCUGGAGCUCAACUCCAGAACUGCCCUUGAUACUGGGAAUCUUGAGUAUGGGAGAGGUGAGUGGAACUGCGGGUGUAGAGGUGAAAUUCGUAGAUAUUCGCAAGAACACCAGUGGCGAAGGCGGCUCACUGGCCCAUAACUGACGCUGAGGCACGAAAGCGUGGGGAGCAAACAGGAUUAGAGACCCCAGUAGUCCCUGUCUCUUAUACA
rnacentral:rRNA from 1 species